GAAUUGAAACUUUAUUAAAUUAAUAGUCUUUGAAGUCAAUUUUACAAAGGAUUAUUUCCAGAGGGCAAUGAUAACAAAUAAUGCAUUCCGAUGUUUUGUUUUGAUUUCAUCUUCAAUAAUGAGGCGGUCGUUGCCUGACUGAUAACUGUUCAUCCUGAUACACCGUUAUACCAUGUAAACGUAAGUGAAUGAUUUUUUGGUGGUCUCUGUCCUUUUCUUGGUUUAUAAAUAGUCACAACUGAAAUUCAAGCUGGAUAACACAAGAAAACUAGGCACAAUGAAUAGUUAUCAAAGGUUUAGAACUACUGAAUUCCAAGAUUCGCCACAUCACCAUGAAAAAGAAGAAUAAAAACAAUAAAAAUGACUUGAUUAAUAAAUAUUUUUCAUUAACUAAAAACCUUAAUUGAAGGGAUGAAAUAAAAUAAUCAGCACUGCCAUCUCUCGAUGAAUAACGGAUUCAUUUAAUUCUAUUAAACGGAAUCUUUUUUAUUCAAUUGUAAUAACUUGGAUUGAUUUAAUUUGCUAAUUAACCAUUCUCAUCUAGUUAUGAAGAUUUUACUUUAAUUCGUCAUGAUUUAUCAUUUUAACUAGAUAUUUCUUAAUUAUUUCUGCUUGUUUGAGUUUCCAAAUGAUUUCAAAGUUUGUGUUCCAUCGCUUCAAAGCUAACCAAAAGCUUCUUUUUUCAGGCAAUCAUUUUUAAUUUUUUAAACCAGUUGUAUUGUUUUCGCUGAUUGAAGACCAUUUUCCAGCCUAUGACCCAGUCCAGCAGUUGUAAUGUAAUCUUCAUAUUUUCACAUGCAAAAAUGUUACUCAGGUCACCAACUGUGUAUUUAACCGAAAAAAUACCUCAAGGAAGAUGAUGUUCAUGCUGAUCUUGAUCCCGAAAGAUGAUAACAAAAAGCCAGGAGUACAAAGUAAAUGUUUCAAGACAAGCUUUAAGACCAGAUGCUUAUUACAAACUAAUGGGUGCUAACUAAGGGAACCAUUUGUUUACCUUAAUCAUCUGAACAAUCAGUUAGUGUGGACACUGCACUGGUCGUAUGAAUACCUUGGAUUAACCUUAAUCAAAUAUCAAUGGAUUUGUGGACAAGAUUUUGUUUUUUGCUUUCGCCCUUGCACAUUGAUUGCCAGUAAACAAGAUAUGAGAUCAGACCUGUAGAUCAGUAUUGUUUGCAGAUUAGUAUUAUUUGGUUUACAGUAAUAACCUUUGACAACGUCAACAGUGAAAACAGUUAUUGACAGUGUUUAUUGACAAUUAGUGUUACAGAAAAAAAAGAGAGUUUAAAACUGUUAUCAUUCCAUGUUUAGCUUGUUCAACUUUGAAUAACCAUUAUUAGCUGUAUUGACUGUUCACUUUUUUAGCUGUAUUUCCUUGCGUGAUGCUUUUACUGCAACUAAAUGUGAUAAUAUAUUAAUCGAUCAAUCUUUUACUUUCCAAUGAUUUAGCAAGUUAAAUUGUUGUUUGUAGCAAUUUAACCAAUGAUAGGAAUCAACGUUGAACAAGAAGUCAGACACUUGAAGUCGCUGCAAGGCCUGAGCAAAUACAUGAAUGUUACUGCUUUUUUGACAUAUUUUCAAGUCUAAAUUUUGUUUAUCUCAGCAAAAUAUAACCAAUGACCAUUGGUCAAAGGUUAAACUAAUGGCAUCAAUCGUGUCAAUGCCAUCAGAGGCUGUAAAAUGAUGUAAGAUGAAGAAAAUGUAAAAAUUGUAAAAAUCACAUCAAUUUUUAGUCUUGUUGUUCAGUUAGCUUCAAUUAUCUUUCAAUCUCUCCUUUUCACUGAUCAAUCUCAAUCGUUUCAAUUAAAUGCGAUGACCUUAGUAAUAUGUUAGGUUAAAGGUUGUUUUUUUACUCUCUUUAACCUCGCUGUUGAUUGAAAGGUGAGAUUGGUUUACAUGUUAAAAUUAACAGCAACCAUUUUUAGCUACAAAAGUUAAAAAAAAGGUUAACGUGAAACUGUUAGGAGGUCAAAAUGGCCAAAAAUGUUACUUCCAAUGAUGGAUCGAUUCAUGUAUUUUUUUCGUUAACAUGGUUUCGACCAACAAUUAGACCAACAACGUACACAGAUUUCAGUGUUAAUAACAAUUUAGAUUACAGUUUCACUUUUUUACAAGGUAAAUCAAAAUUGUUAGAAGGGCGUCUCAAUUUAAUGUUUUACCUUUAUUAAAUGAAGAUCAUCAUCAGUUUUCAUUUUCAAGAUUGAUUAUGAUUAUUCAUUGGCAAUAAUAUAAUUUUAUAAAUGCUAUUAUAUUAUAUGAUUGUGAUUGAUGCGAUUAUUGGGAGAGUAAACAAUUAGAGUAAAAAUCUUUUCUGUGUAAUCAACAUCCUUCUUCAAUCUUAGUUGGUCUUAAUUUUAAUUGUUAACAUU